rnacentral:tRNA from 1 species
GCAUUCGUGGUGUAGUGGUCAGCACGCUCGGCGCGUAUUCGAGAGGUCCGUGGUUCGAGUCCCGGCGAGGGCA